rnacentral:rRNA from 1 species
UGAGGGUCGGACCAAAAACGAAACCUGUCGGCGCCCCACGCGCCCUGCGUGCCCGCUCUCCGCUUCCUCGCCCGUACGUUCGGGAGGUAACCGCGGACGGGUCAAGGUCUGAAGCAAGGCUCGCGCCAUGGCGAGUCCACGAACGGCGAGUGCCCGGGCCGCGCACCCCCCUUCCGAGGGUGUCGGUUCCGGUAGGUCGCCGAGCGUUCGCGCUCUAGAGCUCGGGUCGCCCCGCACUCGAAGACGCCGUUUUCCCGGUGCUGCUUCGUGACGACGGGAGCGACCCGCCGGAGCCGCAAGGACGCCUCCUUUUUCUGUCGACCUCAGAUCGGACGAGACGACCCGCUGAAUUUAAGCAUAU